UGGGGAAUAUUGGACAAUGGGCGAAAGCCUGAUCCAGCCAUGCCGCGUGUGUGAAGAAGGUCUUCGGAUUGUAAAGCACUUUAAGUUGGGAGGAAGGGCAGUAAGCGAAUACCUUGCUGUUUUGACGUUACCGACAGAAUAAGCACCGGCUAACUCUGUGCCAGCAGCCGCGGUAAUACAGAGGUGCAAGCGUUAAUCGGAAUUACUGGGCGUAAAGCGCGCGUAGGUGGUUCGUUAAGUUGAAUGUGAAAGCCCCGGGCUCAACCUGGGGACUGCAUCCAAAAAUGGCGAGCUAGAGUAGGGCAGAGGGUGGUGGAAUUUCCUGUGUAGCGGUGAAAUGCGUAGAUAUGGGAAGGAACACCAGUGGCGAAGGCGACCACCUGGGCUCAUACUGACACUGAGGUGCGAAAGCGCGGGGAGCAAACAGG
rnacentral:rRNA from 1 species